AUCAGCUCUCGCAAUUUUCAAGUCACAAGUAUAAACAGGGACUCAUGUUUUGACUAAAUACACAAUUAAUUUUAGGGUGCAACAGCUAUAGGACGUGGCAGCAACGUAUCAACAUCGAAAACGAAGUUUUACAUAUAUAAAUACUAUGCAUAAUGCAUGGGUCACUAUGCCUCCGGUUCAAACAUGGGCUUCCACUCAGCCAAAGAGGGAGCCAACAAAUUUUGGAGGCCAAUUCAAAAACAAAAAACAUCAGAGAGAGAGAGAGAGAUAGACAGAGAACAUGAAUAAUCCUAAGGCCUUCAUUUCAUAAUUGACAUUUUAUCCCACUCACUAGGAUCCUUUGGUGGAUUCA
rnacentral:misc_RNA from 1 species